AAAGGGGCGAACAGAGCGCCGCCUCUUGUACAGCAACGCAACCGCAGGUCAGCCAAGAGGAGAAGGAGCAGAAGGAGGAGGAGGAGGAGGAGGAGCAGCAACCUGACUUGUGCCUGGUGAUGUGGUGGGACGCCGACUGCUCCUUAGAGCCAAGCA
rnacentral:ribozyme from 1 species